AACAUGCAAAAGAAUAAGAAAUCAGGAAGGGGGCAAAUAGUUUUUCACACCACUGUAUAUCAACCAUAAUGGCCCCAUCUAAUGUAGCUUACUUGAAAUAGACUCUAGCUACAUAACUGCCUGGCUGGGGUCUUGGUGGGGGAUGUAAACACAAUAUUACUUCUAAAGUCUCAAAACAACUUGGCCAGCUGGCUGCCCUGCCAAGUACUGUGGGCAGAUGAAGACCCAGUUUCUCAGCUGUCACUCACCAAUCACCUCUCUAGGGAUCCAGUGUAAAGCACUGCAAGAGAUGCCCAUCACCUACCAAGCCACAAAAUUAGAUUCAGAGUCAGAUGCUAUUUCAGGCACAAAUAAACAAUUUUGAUUGCAUUCCAUUAUCACAUACUAGGGAUGCACCGAAUCCACUAUUUUGGAUGCGGCCGAACCCCCAAAUCUUUUGCGAAAGAUUCAGCCGAAUAACGAACCAAAUCCUAAUUUGCAUGUGCAAAUUAGGUUUGGGAGGGGGAAAACAUUUUUUACUUCAGCUGGAAACAGGGCUACCAUCGGGGUGGCACAGGGGGUACAGUUGUUCCAGGCCCGGUGUUGUUCAGCUUACAAUGGUGGCCUAGCGAAGAAGAAUCUUCUGCUGUCGCGGCUGCUAUCAGAAAAGAACAAAAAAAAUGUGCGCGUAAGAAUGAAAAAAGCUGAGCGGAGAACAACAAAGAAAGUCGAGCAGAGAAGAACGAAGAAAGCUGAGCGGAGGAGAAUGAAGAAAGAUGAAUGGAGAAGAAUGAAGAAGCUGACAGAGGGGGAUGAAGAGGACCGCCCGUGGAACUUUAGAGGAAUGCUCUUCCACUGAUCCCUCGCAGCAGCUGAUACACACAACAGAAAAAAAUAGACGCCAACACUGAGAUUUGCAGUUUCCUUUCUUUUUUUUAACAAAAGUUUCUUUAUUUAGUUCAAUACAGUACAUUAACAUGGAUGAGAUACAAGUUUACUCAGUGUAUUCAUGUAACACAGACAUUAUUACAGCGUUGUAAUCAGUUUACCAUAGCCAUGACAUCCUUUUACCACGUUUGUAGCUUCUAUACCUUGUAUGUACUAUCCUAAUUACUCUGCUACUAGAUAACCAAUAAACCUAACUAAACUUAA